AUUGAACGCUGGCGGCAGGCUUAACACAUGCAAGUCGAGCGGAGUGAUGGUGCUUGCACUAUCACUUAGCGGCGGACGGGUGAGUAAUGCUUAGGAAUCUGCCUAUUAGUGGGGGACAACAUCUCGAAAGGGAUGCUAAUACCGCAUACGUCCUACGGGAGAAAGCAGGGGAUCACUUGUGACCUUGCGCUAAUAGAUGAGCCUAGGUCGGAUUAGCUAGUUGGUGGGGUAAAGGCCUACCAAGGCGACGAUCUGUAGCGGGUCUGAGAGGAUGAUCCGCCACACUGGGACUGAGACACAGCCCAGACUCCUACGGGAGGCAGCAGUGGGGAAUAUUGGACAAUGGGGGGAACCCUGAUCCAGCCAUGCCGCGUGUGUGAAGAAGGCCUUAUGGUUGUAAAGCACUUUAAGCGAGGAGGAGGCUCUUUUGGUUAAUACCCAAGAUGAGUGGACGUUACUCGCAGAAUAAGCACCGGCUAACUCUGUGCCAGCCGCCGCGGUAAAAC
rnacentral:rRNA from 1 species